rnacentral:rRNA from 1 species
GAUGAACGCUGGCGGCGUGCUUAAUACAUGCAAGUCGAACGAACAGAUGAUGAUUUUGUGGGUUUCUCGUUUGGCGCGGGCGUGUGAAUAACGUGUGUAUAAUCUACUUGUAUUUCUGUUAUAUUUUCGGGACAGCGGAUCUUAUACGGUAGGAUAUAUUGAACCGCAUUGGUGAUUGGUGAGAUUCGGUGGUUGUGGCUGUUAUAGAUGGUUCCGCGCUGCAUUAGCUGGUUGUUAAGGUAACGGCUUACCAAGGGAACGAUGCGUAGACGACCUGAGAGGGUGAUAGGCCACACUGGAAAUGAGACACGGUCCAGACUCCUACGGGAGGCAGCAGUAGGGAAUCUUCCGCAAUGGGCGAAAGCCUGACGGAGCAACGCCGCGUGAGUGAUGAAGGUCUUCGGAUCGUAAAACUCUGUUAUUAGGGAAGAACAAAUGUGUAAGUAACUAUGCACGUCUUGACGGUACCUAAUAAGAAAGCCACGGCUAACUACGUG